rnacentral:rRNA from 1 species
AUGGCCACCCAGGGACACAGCGCCGGCGGCAGGAGCUUCGUCCUCGACGCCAAUCUUCCACCACCACCCCGACGCCCUCGCCCCGCACGCCGUGUCGAACCGCGUCGCCAUCCCCGUCAUCGACCUCUCCGGCCGCCGCGCGGAGGGAGGCGGCCGAGACCGUGGGCCUCUUCCAGGUGGUGGCGCACGGCGGCCAUGGCGGGGAUGCUGGCGGCGGUGCGGCGGUUCCACGAGGAGCCGGUGGAGGCCAAGGCGCGCUACUACUCGCGGGACGCGGGCAGGAGCGUCCGCUACAACUGUGUGCUUCUUCCGCGCCAAGGACGGUGA